rnacentral:rRNA from 1 species
CAGCAGCCACGGGAAUACAGAGGGUGCGAGCGUUAAUCGGAUUUACUGGGCGUAAAGCGUGCGUAGGCGGCUUUUUAAGUCGGAUGUGAAAUCCCUGAGCUUAACUUAGGAAUUGCAUUCGAUACUGGGAAGCUAGAGUAUGGGAGAGGAUGGUAGAAUUCCAGGUGUAGCGGUGAAAUGCGUAGAGAUCUGGAGGAAUACCGAUGGCGAAGGCAGCCAUCUGGCCUAAUACUGACGCUGAGGUACGAAAGCAUGGGGAGCAAACAGGAUUAGAUACCCCCGUAGUCCCUGUCUCUUAUAC